AAUGACUGGAGGCAUUUAGCAGGAGCGGAACAGCGUUAGACAUCCUAGAGCUCACAGGAUGGUCUUCUACACAAAGUAUUGUCUCUCUUCACACGUGACUUUCAGGUACUCUUCUGGAUACGCAUGUGUUUCAUUAUCUGAGCUUGGAACUGAACUCCCUUUUACAUAAAGAUACAAGGUGGUUUUGAGAAAGUGAGAUUCACUUCUGUCAUGAAUUUAGGCCUUGGAGUGCAUUAAUCCAGGUUAUGAAUUGCUCCAAGAGGCUGGACCUGAGCAAAGCACAGUUUUGAUAUCCUUACUCACUUCUCAGCUGUUAUUACCCCGAUGUUGGAGGUGGACACUCGUGUCUUCUUGAUGUCCCUAAUCACCACUGUGGCACCACAUCCAAGAGAAGAAAAUGAAAGCUCUUCCAUGUAUCUUCUUGAACGUUGUAGAAUGAGCAUUGCAGCAUAAAUCACCCAAAAUUCAUCAGCUCUGACAUAUCAUCAAAGAAGAGGAAAGACUUCUAAUGAGUCAUCUGGAUGUUGCUGGCAGAGGUGAGACAUCAAGAGGUUCAAGAGGUCUUCAUACGAUCCCUGGUUUUUCCAUCUACCAAGGAUGGAUAAGGCUGAGGAUAUAAUUAAGCAAUAGAAACAGCAAAACUAGAGAUGGUACUCUGCAAACAUGUUCCAUGAGGAGACAGAAAGAAUCUACCAAGCCUAUAGGCAUUACACAGACGCAGAUCCAGAAGACCCUAAGAACCUCAAGAUGAUGAAUAUGACUUUCAUAGGACAAAGUGCCCCAGACCUUACAAGGAAGCUAGAGAAACUGGAUGGGCAUUAGGUCGACCUACCCAUCUGAUUUCGCUUUACAUUCUUACCAGCUGGAUGACAGAGUCCUGUUCAAAAGCUGGAAAGAACAAGGUCUUGAGCAUCAGCUGUCUGCUAAAUGGACAGGCUGCUUUCACCACCUGUUCUUCCAUGGAGCUCUCUGGAGUAAAACCGUGGAUACAUUGAAUCCAGAUAAAACAAGCUCUACCAGAAGAGACAACAGAGCAACCUGAGACCACCUCCUGAAAGUGCGAACACAUCAAGGAUUUAAGAUGUGUAUUCUGUAAAGUUCCUUAAUCUUUACACAAUACUUAGGACAAAUACAAGGAAUCAAGUAUGCUUUAACAUGUCCUCUAGCGCUCAAGAGACAAUUUGUUUCUGUUUUGCUAUUAAUGGUUAUGAGAUUGCCUCAUGUCAGUUAUAACUUCUGCCUCCAGAAACAUCUUCCCUUUCUGAUUGUUGGUUACUGAUCAUGGAGAAAAGUCACUAACUUUGAUCCCCUGACAGAUGGCCACAAUACCCACUUUAAUUCUAUGAGGCUAGUAUUUUUAUAUGAUAUAAACACCUAGACAUUAAUUUGGACUUUAUGGGGUACAUUUAUUAUAUAGGACAGACUUUAGGGAAAACUGCUUGGGAACUUCUCCCAGGGAAGGUUUUUGGUAGAGAUAUAAUCAGGACUAGAGCCACCAAGUAUCAGCAUUAUUAUGUUGCCAUUGGAAUCAAUGAUGAGUUGCUAAAAAAAAAAUACCAGGUUAUAACAGCAGUUACUUAGCCAAACCUUGUGUUUCCUGUCAUAGUGCCAUGUGUCCCCAUUCCCCUCAGCCAUGUUUUUGUGGAUGGGUACCAAAAACCAAAUCUUCUAAUAAGAAGGGAUGAUCACAUGCAGUAGGAGUAAAAUGGUGGACCACUGCUAACAAAGGACAAAAAGAGAUUUUAGGAUCAUUCGGGGCUAGAUUGAGUGUAUUGGGCCAAGUGGAAAUGGCAUUUGAUAAAAACUAUCACAGGCAAGAGAUGCAAUAUUUAAUGGCAUCAGGAAAAUUAGGUGGAUUAUUGUUUCAAGAAGAAGGAAAGGGUUGGGAAGCAGUCUGGAAGACCAACCAAGCUUUAGACAAAUGGAUAAGCAAAACUCAGGAAAUAAUGACAAAAUAUGCUGAGUCUCAACUGUGGGAAAAGGCAUGUGCCUCUACCCAGCAAAGCUUAAUAGACAUGCUUCUCUAAAUGGAAUCAGAAGUAGCAAUGAAACAAUGGCCCACUAUCUUAACAGCUGAGGCCCAAGAAACCCACUUAUGGGAAAAUAUGGGACACCAAACAUAUGGGAAAUAAUUGAAGGAAUUUUAAGUCUACACUGUUGUUCUCUGACUGCCUUAGUACUCAAAUUAAGAAAAGAUUUCAAACAUGAAGUAGUACAGCUUGUAGGAAUAGAUACCCUCCACAACAAUUACCAAAUACUUCCUAUGGGAAGUUUCUGGACCCUCUUUUCCUUGCAUAACUCAAUGGGAACCAAUUUCAGUUAUGAGUUGUAAAUAACGAAAUGGUUACAUUGGCUAUUCCAACAUAUGGCUAUGCCCACAACAGCAAUGGAACUCAGAGGUAAGUCUGACUUGGCCUGUGGUAAGAACUCUGGUUCAAGAUACAUUUGGUACAUGGAAAAAGGGAGAUUCUGUUGGGAAGGUGCCAUGAAUCAUACUGAUUCGUCCGUUUGAUCUGAUAAUCGUCCGUUUAUCAGAUCCUUAUCGUGACCAAACUGAGUUCAUAAUGAAUUUGUCUAAUAUCUGGUGUACUACAGAGGUUACAGGUAAAGUUCAUUUGCUGGAAACUAACAAAACCUGUGAUAACACUGAUGAAGAAGACUAUACCUAUCAGGAGUUAGAACUGAGACCCUCCACAAAGGUAAACUUAUAGAAGAUAAAUGGCCUAAGCAAAAUCUAAACUUAGCAUCUCAAGAAGUCCAGAGGUUCUUGAACAAGCUGGAGUAAUUGAACACCAGGCAGAGGUCACUGUUACAGAGAGGGGAAAGAGAAUCAUUCAGUUAAUCCAAAAAUAUGCAGAAGUUUGUUCUGGUUUCAUCAGAUGGCUCUCUUGUCUGAUUGGGUCUGCCUCUAGUAGUGAUAAAAUCUUAAAAGUUACCUUUUUUGCCUCCUUCUGAUAAUUUGUAUCCUUUUCUUACCCUGAGGUUGUGUUAACUGAUAAAAUGGAAAAAAAACUAAAGUCUCAAACAGUGUUAAUCAACACUGUUGCUCGAGAAUACUUUCAAAUCAAGUUUCGUCAGUUCCAUUCCUCUAUUCUCUAUGAUGCCCCUUGUCAGCAGGAAGUAGCCAGAUAGAAAUGAUAGCCAUAUAAGAUUAUAGAAUGGAUAACUGACAGUGAGAAAUUGAUACUGGCCUGAAGUAAGUUUGAUAUGAGGGAAGCUAUGUUGUAACUUAGAAUAACCUCUGACUAAACCACCCAAGCUGUAUGUUUUACCUUGCACUAGCCUAGGAGAUAAAUAGCUACCCUCUAGGAAAUAAUCCUGGCUGACAAAUGUACAGCCCAAUAGAUAUGGAUGAUAACUUUGUUAUUUUGAGUUUCUUAGGAACAUGGUGACCUCCUCAGAGAAGAACAUCUAUGCUGGCAUAUAUCAUCGAAGACAACUGAAAGACCUGUGGCAUCUCCAGUCACUGAUGCCAGAUAGUCAAUGUUCCUGAGCCCCUCCUUCAUAGCUCACUAGUCUCUAUACAACUGCCUCAAGAUUAUAUGCUUGUUUAAGAUGGUCUUUGGGACAUGAGCCUACCGUCUUCUGAUUUUGCUGGCUAAUCAAAUUAAUUCCUUUCUCAACCACUGACUCAUUUGUAGUUGAUUGCCUUCAGGGUUGUGGCAAGCAGAAUGAGCCCUUGCUUGGUUACAGAAUUUGUCUGACUUCCAAAUGUUUGGGAAUAAGAUAACUGGAGAGUCUGAUCAGCACCUGCCAAGGGUGUCAUUGCUGAAGACUGGUCCUGUGCAGUUCAGAUCCUUAGCUGUGUGUCCCACACAUGCUCACUUGUUGUUUCCAAGCUCAGAAAUUGUGCUAGGUUGGCUGGGUCAAAGUGAAGGUUAUGUUGGUAGCACUGUCUCAUGCUACCCUAGAUCUAGCCUCUGAGCUUCAGGGCCCUCUAUUGUGCCCAGGCCAUUAGAUACCUCCUGCCUUGUGGUGAGAUCUCUUUGGUGCCCCGCAUAUCCUUUCCUCUCAGCAGACCUAAAGGGCCAGGAGCAACUGGUCCAGCCAAGGUGCUGGGAAUUAGAAUCUGGGAAUAAGUUCAGGGCUGGGAUCUCAGAAGACUCCUGGGCUGCUAUUGAAAACUCAUCCUCUCCUUCCAGGAGAUUUGCCUCCCAGGGAGUGGUAGCUUUUGCUAAAGUCUGGAUGUAAGAGUAUCCUCUGUGGUCUGACUGCUUGACUUUGAAUCCUGGCUUUACCAUUUCUAAGCUGAGUAAUCUUGUGCAAUUUGCUUAAUCUGUUUAAGAUUCAAUUUGCUCAUCUGUGAAAGAGGGUUUAUUAGAGUACCUUCCCCUUAGGAUCCCCAAGAGGAUUAAAUGAGGUAAUCCAUGUGAAGUAUAUAGUGUAGUUCCUGGCAUGAAAAUACUCAAUAAAAGUUAGCUGCAAAAUUAUUAUGCUACAUAAAACCCAAUAGGUCCUAUUACACCAAAAUGGAAGUUUUGGUACAAGGGGACUGUUUCUUCAUUGUGUGGAGAAAUGGCUGGAAACUUAUUUCUUGUUUAAAAAAAUCUGUCUUAACGUCAUUGAUUAGUAAGUUUAAACUGUUUGUCCCCAACUUUAUUUGCUGUAUUUACUCUUUGGUGAAUUGUCAGUUAAUACUUUUCUUGUUUUCUGCAUUCUUUGUAUUUUUUUAGCUAAACUUUUUAUUUUGAGAUAACUGCAUAUUCUUAUGCAGUAAUAAGAAAUAAUACAGAGAGAUUCCAUGUAACCUUUCCCUCAGUUUCCUGAGCAUCUCUGUGUGUGUAUUUAUUUAUUUUUCCAGUCUCUUUCUCUCUCUGGUUCAAAUUGGAUCAUUUCUAUUGUCCUAUCUUCAAAGUCACUAAUUCUUUCUUCUGUCCUCUACAUUCUGUGGUUGAG
rnacentral:lncRNA from 1 species